GACGAACGCUGGCGGCGUGCUUAACACAUGCCAGUCGAACGAAGAGCGAUGGAAGCUUGCUUCUAUCAAUCUUAGUGGCGAACGGGUGAGUAACGCGUAAUCAACCUGCCCUUCAGAGGGGGACAACAGUUGGAAACGACUGCUAAUACCGCAUACGAUCUAAUCUCGGCAUCGAGGAUAGAUGAAAGGUGGCCUCUACAUGUAAGCUAUCACUGAAGGAGGGGAUUGCGUCUGAUUAGCUAGUUGGAGGGGUAACGGCCCACCAAGGCGAUGAUCAGUAGCCGGUCUGAGAGGAUGAACGGCCACAUUGGGACCGAGACACGGCCCAGACUCCUACGGGAGGCAGCAGUGGGGAAUCUUCCGCAAUGGACGAAAGUCUGACGGAGCAACGCCGCGUGAGUGAUGACGGCCUUCGGGUUGUAAAGCUCUGUUAAUCGGGACGAAAGGCCUUCUUGCGAAUAGUGAGAAGGAUUGACGGUACCGGAAGAGAAAGCCACGGCUAACUACGUG
rnacentral:rRNA from 1 species